rnacentral:rRNA from 1 species
GACGAACGCUGGCGGCGUGCCUAACACAUGCAAGUCGAACGGGGUAGCAAUACCCAGUGGCGGACGGGUGCGUAACACGUGAGGAACAUGUCUUUCGGCGGGGAAUAGCCGGCCUAACGGCCGGGUAAUACCGCGUACGACGAUUGGGGCGCAUGCCUUGAUCGUGAAAGCAGCAAUGCACCGAUAGAGUGCCUCGCGGCCUAUCAGCUAGUUGGUGAGGUAAUGGCCACCAAGGCGACGACGGGUAGCUGGUCUGAGAGGAUGAUCAGCCACAUUGGGACUGAGACACGGCCCAGACUCCUACGGGAGGCAGCAGUGGGGAAUAUUGCGCAAUGGGCGAAAGCCUGACGCAGCGACGCCGCGUGUGGGAUGAAGGUCUUCGGAUUGUAAACCACUGUCGGGAGGGACGAAUGCGCCGCAAGGCGAGUGACGGUACCUCCAAAGGAAGCACCGGCUAACUCUGUGCCAGCAGCCGCCGCGGUAAG